CCUACGGGGGGCUGCAGUGGGGGAUAUUGCACAAUGGGGGGAACCCUGAUGCAGCGACGCCGCGUGGGUGAAGGAGCGUUUCGGCGCGUAAAGCCCUAUCGGCAGGGAAGAAGAUGACGGUACCUGACCAAGAAGCACCGGCUAACUACGUGCCAGCAGCCGCGGUAAUACGUAGGGGGCAAGCGUUAUCCGGAUUUACUGGGUGUAGAGGGGGCGCAGACGGCAAUGCAAGCCAGGAGGGAAGGCCCGGGGCCGAACCCCGGGACUGCUCUUGGAACUGGAUGGCUGGAGUACAGGAGGGGCAGGUGGAAUUCCUGGUGUAGCGGUGAAAUGCGUAGAUAUGAGGAGGAACACCGGUGGCGAAGGCGGCCUGCUGGACUGAGACUGACGGUGAGGCGCGAAGGCGUGGGGAGCAAACAGGAUUAGAUACCCGAGUAGUC
rnacentral:rRNA from 1 species